rnacentral:lncRNA from 1 species
CAUGUUCAUUUUUGAGCGGAUCCGGCGGUGAGCGCUGUAUGUACGUGUGUACGUUGCUGGACUUUGCCGUAUAUCGACGUUGCGUUUGUGGAAUGUAUGCUGAAGUAUUAGCUCGAGGAUCUCCUCCAAGAUUAAAGCUAGUCCUAAGAGCAACCGAAUUGCUGUGACUGACUUUCACGGGACUGUAAAGAGAGGGAUAUGUGUGUUUAAAGAGAUGCUGAAGAGAUUUCUGAGUUCACGGGGAAGAAGGAAAGGUUGGUUUGGGGAACGGCAGCGCGCCUGGCAGGAGAUGGUUUCCUCAGUGUGUGGCAAGUGUUUCUUCAAGAAAUUCAUCAGCCCUUCUACAAUUACUUCGAGCUCCGAGGGAAGAGAGCUGCCAUCACUUUCUCACAUCCCAAGGUGUUGCAUGGAGGAGAGAAGAAAAGGCUGGCGCAUUUAAUUAUAGGGGGGGAAGGGGGGGCUGGGGGGAACGGGGGCUGUAGAAAGCCGUCCCAAGGCUGUACCUGGAAAAGAAAAACCUGCAAGGGUAUAUUUGGGAGACGUGUGCCAUUUAGAGAUGGGGAAAAGUACCCCAUCUUGUGCAGUAAUUAGUCUGAACAAUAAACAUAAUUGGAAUAAAAUCA